AGUCGGAGCAUCCAUCCCUGGCUGCGGUGGAGCCGCUCCCGAUCCCGGCGCUCCCGGGGAUAUUCCCGGACCCUCGGAGCGGGCUGAGGCUCUGCGGACGGAGGAUGAGGAGGAUGCGGAUGUGGAGGUUCUGGAAUCCCUGCAGGGACAGCUCCCGUGGGCUCCAGGAGCUGCUGGAACCCCCUCGUGCCAGCGGUGAGGACACGGGGCAGGAGUGGCACCCGGUGAGGACACGGGGCAGGAUGGCACCCGGUGAGGACACGGGGCAGGAUGGCACCCGGUGAGGACACGGGGCAGGAGUGGCACCCGGUGAGGACACACAGCAGGAUGGCACCCGGUGAGGACACAGACAGGAGUGGCCCUUGGCGAGGACACGGGGCAGGAGUGGCACCUGGUGAGGACACGGGGCAGGAUGGCACCCGGUGAGGACACUGGGCAGGAGUGGCACCUGGUGAGGACACGGGGCAGGAGUGGCCCUUGGCGAGGACACUGGGCAGGAUGGCACCUGGUGAGGACACGGGGCAGGAGUGGCCCUUGGCAAGGACACUGGGCAGGAUGGCACCUGGUGAGGACACGGGGCAGGAGUGGCACCCAGUGAGGACACGGGGCAGGAUGGCACCCAGUGAGGACACGGGGCAGGAUGGCACCCGGUGAGGACACAGACAGGAGUGGCCCUUGGCGAGGACACUGGGCAGGAUGGCACCCGGUGAGGACACGGGGCAGGAUGGCACCCAGAGAGGAGUGGCCCUUGGCAAGGACACGGGGCAGGAUGGCACCCGGUGAGGACACACAGCAGGAUGGCACCCGGUGAGGACACGGGGCAGGAGUGGCACCCAGUGAGGACACACAGCAGGAUGGCACCUGGUGAGGACACAGACAGGAGUGGCCCUUGGUGAGGACACCGGGCAGGAUGGCACCCGGUGAGGACAUGGGACACACAGCAGGAUGGCACCCAGUGAGGACACAGACAGGAAUGGCCCUUGGCGAGGACACCGGGCAGGAUGGCACCUGGUGAGGACACGGGGCAGGAGUGGCACCCGGUGAGGACACUGGGCAGGAUGGCACCCGGUGAGGACACACAGCAGGAUGGCACCCAGUGAGGACACACAGCAGGAUGGCACCCGGUGAGGACACACAGCAGGAUGGCACCUGUCCCCUCCCGAGGCUGGAUUGUCCCCGAUGGUUCCUCUGGGCCUCGCCUGGGCUUUGGAUGCUCCCUUCUGUCCGCAGCUGGAAUGGCAGGGCCGUUCCUCCUGCUCCUCCCAAAUCCCGUGGAUUUACUGCUUCUGGCUGCUUUUCCAUCGUCCUGCUGGGACUGGCUCUGGCACAGGGAAUCUCCGAGGGACGGAUGGGGACAAGCAGCACCUGCAGCCUGAGCCUGCCAUUCCCUCUUUUUCUGGGCUGCUCUGAGCGUGCUGGCUCUGCAGGAGGAAGGGUUCCAUGCCCUGCUGGAGGACAAAUCCUGCUGCUCUGAUGGUCCCUGCUGGAGGCUCGGGGUGAGUGAGGGACAGAAGGACAGACAGACAGCCAGGAGGAGAGGAUGGACACUGCAGCUGGGACAGACAGACAGCCAGGAGCAUUUCCCAAGGACAGCAUGGACACUGCAGCUGGGACAGAAGGACAGCCAGAACAGCUCCCGAGGACAGGAUGGACACUGCAGCUGGGACAGACAGACAGCCAGGAGCAUUUCCCAAGGACAGCAUGGACACUGCAGCUGGGACAGAAGGACAGCCAGGACAGCCAGAACAGCUCCUGAGGACAGGAUGGACACUGCAGCUGGACAGAGGGACAGAAGGACAUCCAGGACAGCCAGGACCAUCUCCCAAGGACAGGACAGACAGUGCUGGGCUGCACAUCCCUGCAGGAGCUGAGCUCCUCCCCAUGGCACUGACAGCACUCAGGAGCAAUUUCUGCUGGACUUUGGGAAUUUGGGAAUUUUCCUUGUGGAUCCUGGCCAUGGAUGGAUGCUGAAGAGCUCCUGGCUCAAGCAGGAGCUCAGUGCUUUUCUCUGGCAAGGACCAAGCCCUUCCCUGCUUUCCAAUGGAUAUUUUUGGUUUUUAUUUUUGCUGUUUUUUGGGGUUUGGGUGUUUCCUGAGGCUGCUGGAGCUGCAGUGGAUCCAUGGUGGGACUGGAGCCUUUGAGGAGCAGGAGCUGAGCUGGGCCUGGGGCUCUGGGCUGGGGGGCUCAGGAGGGUCCUGGUGCCACAGCUGGAGCAUCCCAGAGGAUCCCAGGGUGGGAAUGGGGGGAAGCCAAACCCAGCAUGGGGAGUGUCACCCUCAGAGACAAUUAAACUGCAUUUAAUUAAUUUAAUAAACCCCAUUGGCUCUGUGA